rnacentral:rRNA from 1 species
AUUGAACGUUAGCGGGAUGCCUUACACAUGCAAGUCGAACGGAGCGGCGAACGGGUGAGUAAUGCAUCGGAACGUGCCCAGUAGUGGGGGAUAACUUCGCGAAAGCGUAGCUAAUACCGCAUACUAUUGGAGCGGCCGAUAUCGGAUUAGCUAGUUGGUGGGGUAACGGCCCACCAAGGCGACGAUCCGUAACUGGUUUGAGAGGACGAUCAGCCACACUGGAACUGAGACACGGCCCAGACUCCUACGGGAGGCAGCAGUGGGGAAUUUUGGACAAUGGGGGAAAGCCUGAUCCAGCCAUCCCGCGUGUGCGAUGAAGGCCUUCGGGUUGUAAAGCACUUUUAGCAGGGAAGCGGUACCAGCAGAAUAAGCACCGGCUAACUACGUGCCAGCAGCCGCGGUAAUAC